rnacentral:rRNA from 1 species
UACGGGGGGAGCAAGCGUUGUUCGGAUUUACUGGGCGUAAAGCGCACGUAGGCGGCUUUGUAAGUUAGAGGUGAAAGCCCGGAGCUCAACUCCGGAAUUGCCUUUAAGACUGCAUCGCUUGAAUCCGGGAGAGGUGAGUGGAAUUUCGAGUGUAGAGGUGAAAUUCGUAGAUAUUCGGAAGAACACCAGUGGCGAAGGCGGCUCACUGGACCGGUAUUGACGCUGAGGUGCGAAAGCGUGGGGAGCAAACAGG